AAAAAAUAUAAGAGAUAAAAGAAUAACGAGAAGAAGAAUUCUUGCGGCUGAUGAAAAACAAAAUGGAAAACCUCGAUGAAAUCAAAACUAUUUAAGAGAAGAAAUCCAAAUGAUGAUUUACUUGCUCAAGUUGAUGCGGAACUUAUGAAUAAUAAUGAUGUACAUGAAGAUGUUACAAAUCCUAGAGAGAGCAAUGAAGAACUUAGAAGAGGAUAGUAAAUUCGAGAUAGCAUAUAAGCUGCCAUGUGGAAUAAAUAUCAAGACUUAUUUUCGAGGAGAAACAUACAAAUAAAUUUUUGUAUCACUUUUAUUUAUUUGAUGUUAUUUGAAGUGAUUUUGUGAACUAAUAUUUUACUUAUAAAGAUAAUGUGUUGUGCAUUUGACUUUA